CUGCCCCUGACUCCGGGAUAAGCCGGGGAAACCCGGUCUAAUACCGGAUAGGACGUCUCGUCGCAUGGCGGGGCGUGGAAAGGUGUCUUUCCGGUCAGGGAGGGGCUCGCGGCCUAUCAGCUUGUUGGUGGGGUGAAGGCCUACCAAGGCGAUUACGGGUAGCCGGCCUGAGAGGGCGACCGGCCACACUGGGACUGAGACACGGCCCAGACUCCUACGGGAGGCAGCAGUGGGGAAUAUUGCGCAAUGGGCGGAAGCCUGACGCAGCGACGCCGCGUGGGGGAUGACGGCCUUCGGGUUGUAAACCUCUUUUACCACCGACGCAGGCCCGUGCUUCUGUGCGGGUUGACGGUAGGUGGGGAAUAAGGACCGGCCAACUACGUGCCAGCAGCCGCGGUAAUACGUAGGGUCCGAGCGUUGUCCGGAAUUAUUGGGCGUAAAGAGCUCGUAGGUGGCGUGUCGCGUCUGCUGUGUAAGUCCGGGGCUUAACUCCGGUUUGGCAGUGGAUACGGGCAUGCUAGAGGUAGGCAGGGGAGACUGGAAUUCCUGGUGUAGCGGUGAAAUGCGCAGAUAUCAGGAGGAACACCGGUGGCGAACGCGGGUCUCUGGGCCUUACCUGACGCUGAGGAGCGAAAGCGUGGGGAGCGAACAGGAUUAGAUACCCUGGUAGUCCACGCUGUAAACGUUGGGCGCUAGGUGUGGGGACUUUC
rnacentral:rRNA from 1 species